rnacentral:lncRNA from 1 species
GUUAGGAUUUUCAUAAAUAUGACCCAAUUAAUCAUAUUCAAAUUUGAAUUUACUAUAAAUAAAAGUCAAUUCUAAUAUAUAUAGAACUGCUUGAUAUGCUUUUAUUUAAAUUAAAUAGAAUCCUAAUCAAACUUUAAUGGGAAGUUGAUCUGGAUUUUAUAUAAAAGGGUGUUAGUCCUGCCACCUUUUUAUUUGCAAUCUGGUAAAAAUUAUUAUUGGUUCCACACCAUACGGGAGAUUGUUUGAGUAAGAAGGAGAAAUCAAAUUUUCCAAAUUCGAUUAUUAACGUUUAGAUUAUAACUGAAUUUCUCGCUUCCGCAGAUUGAAAAAGAAUUUUUUUUCUAUGGCGCUCCGUGAGUUAUUAUAAUUUUAUUCAUGAUCCUAAGUUUUGAUAUGUAUUUAUUUUUAUUGAUGUUUUAUAUGUCGAUA